GGCGGACGGGUGAGGAACGCUUGGGAAUCUGCCCUUCAGCGGGGGACAACCCGGGGAAACCCGGGCUAAUACCGCAUACGCUCCACGGAGGAAAGCCGGGGACCGCAAGGCCUGGCACUGAAGGAUGAGCCCAAGUCGGAUUAGCUAGUUGGCGGGGUAACGGCCCACCAAGGCGACGAUCCGUAGCUGGUCUGAGAGGACGAUCAGCCACACUGGGACUGAGACACGGCCCAGACUCCUACGGGAGGCAGCAGUGGGGAAUAUUGGACAAUGGGGGAAACCCUGAUCCAGCGACGCCGCGUGGGUGAAGAAGGCCUGCGGGUUGUAAAGCCCUUUCGGUAGGGACGAAAGCUCUCGACCUAACACGUCGGGAGGUUGACUUAACCUACAAAAGAAGCACCGGCUAACUCUGUGCCAGCAGCCGCGGUAAUACAGAGGGUGCGAGCGUUAAUCGGAAUUACUGGGCGUAAAGCGCACGUAGGCGGCUUGGUAUGUCGGGUGUGAAAUCCCCGGGCUCAACCUGGGAACUGCAUCCGAAACUGCCUUGCUCGAGUAU
rnacentral:rRNA from 1 species